rnacentral:tRNA from 1 species
GCCCCCGUAGCUCAAUUGGAUAGAGCGCUGGACUUCGGAUCCAGUGGUUGCGCGUUCGAGUCGCGCCGGGGGCGCUA